GAGGGGAUAGCUCAGUGGUAGAGCGUGCGUUUAGCAUGCACAAGGUCGGGGUUCCAUCCCCAGUACCUCUG
rnacentral:tRNA from 1 species